rnacentral:rRNA from 1 species
UACGUAGGGUGCAAGCGUUGUCCGGAAUUAUUGGGCGUAAAGAGCUCGUAGGCGGUUUGUCGCGUCUGCUGUGAAAAUCCAGGGCUUAACCCUGGACCUGCAGUGGGUACGGGCAGACUAGAGUGCGGUAGGGGAGAUCGGAAUUCCUGGUGUAGCGGUGAAAUGCGCAGAUAUCAGGAGGAACACCGAUGGCGAAGGCAGGUCUCUGGGCCGAUACUGACGCUGAGGAGCGAAAGCGUGGGGAGCGAACAGG